UCCGGUCUCGCGGUGCCACUGAAAGGAAACCGGCAGCCCGGGCGAGCCCAAGGAGCACGAAAAAGGCAGCUCGCCAAGCCCGAGCGCCGCACUGCCACCCAGCCCCGGCCCCUGCGCCAACCCCGCCCGGCUGCUCCCGCCGCCCCAACCGCCGCCGGGCCGCAGCAGGCCCCGGGGCGGCGGGACGCGAACAAAGGCGGCGGCGGAGGCCCCGGCCGGGCCCCCGCGCGGCGGGAAGGCCGGGGGCGGGGGGGGGGGGGGGUCUCACCUCGGCGGGGCCGGGGCGGGGGAGCGGGGGCGCCGCUCUCGCUCCCGUCGGGCCGCGGCCGCUUCCGUCUCGCCGCGUCUCGUCGCGUCGCCGGGGCCGCGGGGGGAGGGGCAGGGCCGCUCCGGCGGGCGCCAACGCUCGCGAGAGCGCCCGCGGGUCACGUGCCGCCACCCCGCGCCGUUGGUCGGCGGAGCGCCUCGCCACGUCACGCGCCUCGGUCACGUGGGGGAGCGCGGAGUGUGUGCGUGUGGGGGGGGGGGGUUGAGUCUCGCCGCCUCGCGAGGAAACGAGAGCGGCGCGCGGCGGGGGCAGCGCGCAGGCGCGCGGCGGCUCAUCCGGGCACCUGCCGUCCGCGGCGCAGGCGCAGUAGCGCGCAGCGGGCCCGGUCUCGCGGGGCGUGGUGGAAAGCACGGCCGGGCCCGAGGCCAGUCCCGGUCCGGGCCGCUAGGCAGGCGGGCGGCGGUCCCUGCAGUGCCGGUCCCGCGAGGGCCGCGCUGUGUUCCUCGGGAGCGGCCGGGCACCAGCCGAGCGCUGUUAAACAUCCGUUAAACCGCCGCCUGGGGGGGGGAGGGGCGGGAAUAGGUGGGUGUGUUGCGCAUGCGCGGUCCCAUUGCGGCCUUCGCAGCCCGGGGCCGGCGCCUCGGGGCGGGAGCGCGGCCUGGAGCCCUGGGAGGAACCGGCGGGAAAGCCGGGAGGGGGGGUUCCACGGUUCCCAGGCCUGUGCUGCCUCUGUGCACCCAGGUCUUCCCCUAACGGCCCCGCUGCGCCUUCCGAGCCACGUGGAGCAAAGGUCGGCAGCAUACAUGUCCUCAGGCAAACCUGCCCCCUCUCCCUGCCCUUUUGCUGGCCUUGUGUUAUUGCAGCUGCAGCUCCUUGGCACAAGGAGUGAAGUUUUCCUGGCUCACUGUUGCAGGCUGUAG
rnacentral:lncRNA from 1 species